rnacentral:rRNA from 1 species
CCUACGGGUGGCAGCAGUGGGGAAUAUUGCACAAUGGGGGAAACCCUGAUGCAGCGACGCCGCGUGAGUGAGGAAGUAUUUCGGUAUGUAAAGCUCUAUCAGCAGGGAAGAAAAUGACGGUACCUGAUUAAGAAGCCCCGGCUAACUACGUGCCAGCAGCCGCGGUAAUACGUAGGGGGCAAGCGUUAUCCGGAUUUACUGGGUGUAAAGGGAGCGUAGACGGACUUGUAAGUCUGAUGUGAAAGUCCUGGGCCCAACCCCGGGACUGCAUUGGAAACUGUAUAUCUAGAGUGUAGGAGAGGAAAGUGGAAUUCCUGGUGUAGCGGUGAAAUGCGUAGAUAUCAGGAGGAACACCAGUGGCGAAGGCGGCUUGCUGGACGAUGACUGACGUUGAGGCUCGAAAGCGUGGGGAGCGAACAGGAUUAGAUACCCGAGUAGUC